rnacentral:rRNA from 1 species
GAUUAUGGCUCAGGAUGAACGCUGGCGGCGUGCUUAACACAUUCAAGUCGAACGGACGAUGCGACUUCGGUCGCAAAGUUAGUGGCGGACGGGUGAGUAAUGCAUGAGCAACCUGCCUUUCCGCGGGGAAUAACACAGGGAAACCGGUGCUAAUACCGCAUACGCCAUUCCGGUUGCAUGUCCGGAAUGGGAAAGGAUUUAUUCACGGAAAGAUGGGCUCAUGUCUGAUUAGAUAGUUGGUGAGGUAACGGCCCACCAAGUCUGCGAUCAGUAGCCGGACUGAGAGGUUGAACGGCCACAUUGGAACUGAGAUACGGUCCAGACUCCUACGGGAGGCAGCAGUGGGGAAUAUUGGGCAAUGGGGGGAAAAACCCCUGACCCAGCGACGCCGCGUGAAGGAAGAAGGUCUUCGGAUUGUAAACUUUAAAUAGCAGGGACGAAGAAAGUGACGUUACCUGCAGGGAAGCCACGGCUAACUACGUGCCAGCCGCAGC